GGCCCUGUGGCCUAAUGGAUAAGGCGUCUGCCUCCGGAGCAGAAGAUUGCAGGUUCGAGUCCUGCCUGGGUCG
rnacentral:tRNA from 1 species